rnacentral:rRNA from 1 species
UACGUAGGGUCCGAGCGUUGUCCGGAAUUACUGGGCGUAAAGAGCUCGUAGGUGGUUUGUCGCGUUGUUCGUGAAAACUCACAGCUCAACUGUGGGCGUGCGGGCGAUACGGGCAGACUGGAGUACUGCAGGGGAGACUGGAAUUCCUGGUGUAGCGGUGAAAUGCGUAGAUAUCAGGAGGAACACCGGUGGCGAAGGCGGGUCUCUGGGCCGAUACUGACGCUGAGGAGCGAAAGCGUGGGGAGCGAACAGG